UGUUCCUUAAAAGUUUUGAAGAAUCGGUGUUAUAAGCUUACAGAUGGCUUAACGUCCAUUACAGAGCUGAUUGUGUGGCGAUCGGUUACUUGGAGAAAGAAAAGGAAUUAGAGUACGGGCCUCCACGCCAAUAUAUAUUGAAUAUAAAACAGAAAGAGAAAAUAAUGACACAGAUCAAAACACAGCGGCAAAUUUCGGCAAAAUUUAAACACUUGUGUCAUGAAAACGAGGCGGCUAUGCAGUGUCCACAAUGGACGUGGCCAUCCGCCGUGCAUAAGAUACCAUAUUGACAUUGGCGGGCGAAGGAGCCACUUUCUCUGCCCAGGGCCGCCACGAGCCUAGAGCAGCCCCUGAGUACUGCUGCAAUAAAUUAUUUCAUCGAAGGUCGCAUACAAUCACUGCGCCACCGUGCUCCAAUGUUUAAUAACGUGCUUUAACUCCUAUCAUCAUGAAAAUGAUAUCACGUAUACAUCUCAGUAUUUUAGUUAUUCAGAGAGCUGUAAUAUCACGAAUGUAAUGGAUUCUGUGUCCUGUCGGAGGUAGAGAAAGCUGGUUUAAGAAGCGCGUAGUGAUUCACACACAUAAAGCACAUAGAAGAACACAUACAAAACAAAGCAUUUAACGUGCUAUUUUACUUAUGAUGUGAUUUGAGAAACUAGUUAAUUAAACGAUUUUAAGAUGAAGUUUAUGAUGUUCUACUUUAAUGACAAAAUAAACUACGUGAUUAAAGUGGAAA